AUUGAACGCUGGCGGCAUGCUUUACACAUGCAAGUCGAACGGUAACAGCACUUCGGUGGCUGACGAGUGGCGAACGGGUGAGUAAUGUAUCGGAACGUGCCCAGUAGUGGGGGAUAACUACUCGAAAGAGUGGCUAAUACCGCAUGAGAUCUCUGGAUGAAAGCGGGGGACCGUAAGGCCUCGCGCUACUGGAGCGGCCGAUAUCAGAUUAGGUUGUUGGUGGGGUAAAGGCCCACCAAGCCAACGAUCUGUAGCUGGUCUGAGAGGACGACCAGCCACACUGGAACUGAGACACGGUCCAGACUCCUACGGGAGGCAGCAGUGGGGAAUUUUGGACAAUGGGCGCAAGCCUGAUCCAGCAAUGCCGCGUGCAGGAUGAAGGCCUUCGGGUUGUAAACUGCUUUUGUACGGAACGAAAAGGCUCUGGUUAAUACCUGGGGCUCAUGACGGUACCGUAAGAAUAAGCACCGGCUAACUACGUG
rnacentral:rRNA from 1 species